rnacentral:rRNA from 1 species
AUUGAACGCUGGCGGCAGGCCUAACACAUGCAAGUCGAGCGGCUGAACAGAACGUGCUCCUUGAUUCGGCGGCCGACUGGUGAGUGAUGCCUAAGAACCUCGCAAUUUGUGGGGGAUAGCGUCAGGACACGGGGGCUAAUACGGCAUACGUCCUUACGGACUAAGGGUGAGAUCAUCGGACCUCACGCCAUCAGAUGAGCCUAGGUCGGAUUAGCUAGUUGGUGGGGUAAAGGCCUACCAAGGCGACGAUCCGUAACUGGUCUGAGAGGAUGAUCAGCCACACUGGAACUGAGACACGGUCCAGACUCCUACGGGAGGCAGCAGUGGGGAAUAUUGGACAAUGGGCGCAAGCCUGAUCCAGCCAUGCCGCGUGGGUGAAGAAGGUCUUCGGAUUGUAAAGCACUUUUAGUGGGGAGGAAGAGCAGCAAGUUAAUACCUCGCUGUUCUGACGGUACCAACAGAAUAAGCACCGGCUAACUUCGUG